rnacentral:rRNA from 1 species
UACGGAAGGCAGCAGUGGGGAAUAUUGCACAAUGGGCGCAAGCCUGAUGCAGCCAUGCCGCGUGUAUGAAAAAGGCCUUCAGGUUGUAAAGUACUUUUCAGUCGUGAGGAAGGUGUUAAGGUUAAUAACCUUAGCAAUUGACGUUAGCGACAGAAGAAGCACCGGCUAACUCCGUGCCAGCAGCCGCGGUAAUACGGAGGGUGCGAGCGUUAAUCGGAAUUACUGGGCGUAAAGGGCACGCAGGCGGUUAAUUAAGUUGGAUGUGAAAUCCCCGGGCUUAACCUGGGAAUGGCAUUCAAGACUGGUUAGCUAGAGUCUUGUAGAGGGGGUAGAAUUCCAUGUGUAGCGGUGAAAUGCGUAGAGAUGUGGAGGAAUACCGGUGGCGAAGGCGGCCCCUGGACAAAGGCUGACGCUCAUGUGCGAAAGCGUGGGGAGCAAACAGGGAUUAGAUACC